rnacentral:rRNA from 1 species
GACGAACGCUGGCGGCGUGCUUAACACAUGCAAGUCGAACGGGCCUUGUCCCCUUUUUUUGGGGGUGGGGUUAGUGGCGAACGGGUGAGUAACACGUGAGUAACCUGCCCCUCACUUCUGGAUAACCGCUUGAAAGGGUGGCUAAUACGGGGUGUUCUGGCCUGCUCGCAUGGGUGGGUUUGGAAAGAUUCGACCGGUUUUGGUUGUUUUGGUGGGGGAUGGGCUCGCGGCCUAUCAGCUUGUUGGUGGGGUGAUGGCCUGCCAAGGCUUUGACGGGUAGCCGGCCUGAGAGGGUGGGCGGUCACACUGGGACUGAGACACGGCCCAGACUCCUACGGGAGGCAGCAGUGGGGAAUAUUGCACAAUGGGCGCAAGCCUGAUGCAGCGACGCCGCGUGAGGGACGGAGGCCUUCGGGUUGUGAACCUCUUUCGCCAGUGAAGAAGGUCCUACUCUUUGUGGUGGGGUUGACGGUAGCUGGGUUAAUGAAGCGCCGGCUAACUACGUG